GAGUUUGAUCGUGGCUCAGAACGAACGCUGGCGGUAUGCUUUACACAUGCAAGUCGAACGGGUAUGGACUCUAGCAAUAGAGCCCCAGCUAGUGGCAAACGGGUGAGUAACGCGUGGGAACCUACCUUGUAGUACGGAAUAGCCCUGGGAAACUAGGAUUAAUACCGUAUACGCUCUUCGGAGGAAAGAUUUAUCGCUAUAAGAUGGGCCCGCGUUAGAUUAGCUAGUUGGUGAGGUAAUGGCUCACCAAGGCGACGAUCUAUAGCUGGUUUGAGAGGAUGAUCAGCCACACUGGAACUGAGACACGGUCCAGACUUCUACGGGAGGCAGCAGUGGGGAAUAUUGGACAAUGGGCGAAAGCCUGAUCCAGCAAUACCGCGUGAGUGAUGAAAGCCUUAGGGUUGUAAAAC
rnacentral:rRNA from 1 species